AGUUGUAAUUUGCAGAGGAUGUUUCUGGCGCGCUGCCUUCCGAGUUCCCUGGAACGGGACGCCAUAGAGGGUGAGAGCCCCGUAUGGUUGGAUACCAAGCCUGUGUGAAACUCCUUCGACGAGUCGAGUAGUUUGGGAAUGCUGCUCAAAAUGGGAGGUAAAUCUCUUCUAAAGCUAAAUAUUGGCCAGAGACCGAUAGCGCACAAGUAGAGUGAUCGAAAGAUGAAAAGCACCUUGAAAAGGGGGUUAAACAGUACGUGAAAUGUUGAAAGGGAAGCGCUCAUGACCAGACUUGUGCUGGGCAGCUCAUCCGGGGUUCUCCCCGGUGCAUUCUGCCCAGUUCAGGCCAGCAUCGAUUUUUGCUGGGGGAUAAGAACGGUAGGAACGUGGCCCUCCUUCGGGAGGGUGUUAUAGCCUACCGUACGAUACCCUAGCGGAGAUCGAGGUUCGCGCAUCUGCAAGGAUGCUGGCGUAAUGGUCAUCAGCGACCCGUCUUGAAACACGGACCAAGGAGUCGUCCAUUAGAGCGAGCGUUUGGGUGUAAAACCCGCACGCGUAAUGAAAGUGAAAUUAGGUGAGAGCUUCGGCGCAUCAUCGACCGAUCCUGAUGUUCUCGGAUGGAUUUGAGUAAGAGUUUUAACGGACGGACCCGAAAGACAGUGAACUAUGCUUGUAUAGGGUGAAGCCAGAGGAAACUCUGGUGGAGGCUCGCAGCGGUUCUGACGUGCAAAUCGAUCGUCAAAUAUGAGCAUGGGGGCGAAAGACUAAUCGAACUGUCUAGUAGCUGGUUACCGCCGAAGUUUCCCUCAGGAUAGCAGUGUUGACCUUCAGUUUUAUGAGGUAAAGCGAAUGAUUAGGGACUCGGGGGCGCUUUUUAGCCUUCAUCCAUUCUCAAACUUUAAAUAUGUAAGAAGCCCUUGUUACUUAGUUGAACGUGGGCAUUCGAAUGUAUCAACACUAGUGGGCCAUUUUUGGUAAGCAGAACUGGCGAUGCGGGAUGAACCGAACGCGGGGUUAAGGCGCCAGAGUGUACGCUCAUCAGACACCACAAAAGGCGUUAGUACAUCUUGACAGCAGGACGGUGGCCAUGGAAGUCGGAAUCCGCUAAGGACUGUGUAAC
rnacentral:rRNA from 1 species